rnacentral:rRNA from 1 species
GCGGCACGUGAGCUGGGUUUAGACCGUCGUGAGACAGGUCGGUCCCUAUCUGGUGUGGGUGUAGGAUGACUGAGGAGGUUUGCCCCUAGUACGAGAGGAUUGGGGUGGACGACCCUCUGGUGCUCCAGUUAUCACGCUAGUGGUACAGCUGGGUAGCUACGGUCGGAACGGAUAAGCGCUGAAUGCAUCUAAGCGCGAAGCCUUCUCCAAGACGAGUCAUCCCUACCAGUCCCCUGGAAGACGACCAGGUUGAUAGGCCGGCGGUGUAAGCAUGGCAACGUGUUGAGCUUACCGGUACUAAUCGGACGAUCG